rnacentral:lncRNA from 1 species
UUAAUUUGAAGUUCAAAUUUAAAUUUUGAUUUUAAAUUCAAACUUCAUAUUCAAAGUCUGAUUUUGGUUUCAAAUUUAAAUAUAAAUUUAGUUUUUGAAUUCAAAUUUUGAUUUCAAAUUCAAAUUUAAAUUUUGAAUAGUCAAAAUUUUAAAGUAAAUUUCAUUCAAGUUUUAAAUUUAGAUUUAGAAUUUAAACUCAGACUUCAGUUUGAGUUCAGAUUUUAAUCCAACUCUUAGUUUCAAAUUUAGAUUUGGAGUUCAAAUUUUUAAUGUGAAUCAGAAUUUUAAUUCAAAUUUAGAAUUUGAACUCAUAUUUCAAGUUAAAUUAAAAUAAAAUUUACAUUCAAAUUCAAAUUCAUAUUUGAAUACAAAAUUCAAAUUUAAAUUUAAAUUUCAAAUUCAAACUUAAGUAAUUCAACUAAUGUGAAAUUUUGAACUUUAUUUCAAAUUUAAAUUUGAGGCAAGUAGCGGUGGAGAAGGAUAACUUUUAAAUUUUGCAUAAGUUGCAGCAUAACAUGUAAUCAGUAAUGCAAGAUACCCAUCUUUUUAUUGUUUUACUAGUAAUAUUUUACGGUACCUUACAAACUAAUAUACAUGACAUUGUUUAAUUGGUGGAAAUGUGCGAACCAUGAAAUGGUUUUUUGAAAGUAUGGUAGAUAAUUUUAAUAUUGAAAUCCAUCAAUUGAGUUGUAUGGUUUGUAAAAUAUUAUAAAUUUGCUUGUAAACAAAGUAUUUUUCAAUUUUUAAAGAUCCCUGUAGGAUUCUCUGUAAUAUAAUAUAAACUUGGCCUUCUUUUGCACCAUGUGUUGUUUUCUUCUUCUUUUUUUUUGAUAAAAAUUUUCUGCGAUAGUGUACGCUCAGAGAUCCAACAGAUUGCUUGUAAUCUAUACAUUACUUCGGAUUUAUUUGUUGAGAAACUAUGAAAACUUAGUAACAACUUUUUUUUCUUUUAAACUAAAUUUUGAAUUGGUAUUUACCAAGAAUAAGAUUUUGUUUUGUUUUUUUUUUUAUUUUUUUAUUUGUUUGUUUGGUUGUUUACUUGUUUUUGGUUGUUGUUGUUGGUGUUUGUGCUGGAACUUGGAGUGGGUCUCCCAAGAUGAAGCAAAAAAGUUUUUAUUUUUGUUUAUUUAUUUAUUUUAUGGUUUCUGAGGACUAUGAAAAAGCCUAUGGCUAUAUGCUAUGGCUAUAUGAAUGCAUUACACUUGGCUUUUGUGAAUGGCCUUAUCUAUGUAAAAGCUCACACAUUGUCCAAGGUGAUCAUCCCAUGUAUAUGCAUUUGAUUGCUUUAAUUUCCCUUUCAUUUUUGCUUUUUGUAAAAGAGUGCUGCUAUAAGAUUACCCUACAAUAUUAUUAAUAAUAUGAUAAUAUAUUAUUAUAUUUAUAAUAAUAAUAUUGUAAAUAAUUCAUCAUUCAUAUAAAUUGAAAAAAAAAAAAAACAACAACAAGAUUAAACGAAGCCUAAGAUUUUAUAUAUUAUAUAUAUCUCAAAAUUGAUAACUUGAAUAGCUGACGUGGUGAUAUAUUUGUAAGUUUACCAAUUUAAAAGAAUGAAUUUAUAUUCAAUAAAAUUUUUAUAGAAAAUUUCGUUCACUAUUUAAUGAAAGAUCAAUAUCUUUGAUCUGAAAUUUAAAUCUUUUAUUAUUAUUUUUUAAAAUUUUUAUUUUUAGCCUUUUAUGUUGAAACUAUUCGGUUUAAGGGUAAAUAAUAUAAACAAAUUAUAAAAAUUGGUUUCAAUAUAGUUUUAGUAGUGUAGCUCAUAUUUAAUUGAGUCAAUCAUCGAUUCGAAUAUCUCAUCAUCGAAAACAACAUAAUAGCAAUGAGGCCUCCGUACUACUGAUAGUAUUCUAGCCUAAUUCAAAUAUAUACAAAGAGAGAGAGAAAGAGAGAGUUGUAGAGAAUGCUUAUAAUAAUACCAACUUAUUAAUGCUUUUUAGUUUUUGGCCCUUGGAUUAAGGGGUCGUUGGAUUACCAUGAUAGUGGUCCAGUUAAGUUUAGAAGUAGUGAAAUAAUAUAAUUUAAGAAAUAUAAAUGACAAAAGAGUAUGUACACAGUAGUUACGGAUUUUUGAUAUCACAACAGCUUCAUGUGUGAGUUGCUACUUUCCAUGAAAUUUGAUUUCUAGAUAUUUUCAAUAUUCUGGAUCAAGCUUAAUGAUGUCGAUCAUCGAUUCGAAAACUUCAUCAUCGAAAAUAAAUUUGUAACAACAGAGCGCAUUUACGACUAAUAGUAUUCAAGCUCAACUCUCUUCUCUCCUUCUCUCUCUCUAUAUAUAUAUAGAAAGAGAGAGAGUAGGGCUACUAUACUCUUAUGAGUAUAGAGCUCUUCGUGUUCAUAAGUUGUUUUCGAUAAUUGAACUUCCGAAUCGACGAUCCACUUCGUUAAAUGUGUUCUAAAGUAUUUGAAACUUUCAGAAAAUAAAUUUCGUAAUUUUUUUUGAAAUCAUAAUAAAAUCCAUUAAGUGGGCAUAAAAUGAACAGUCAAAAUCGAAUAACAUCCUAAAAAUCGAUAAUUGGAUCCUUCAAUUUAAGAUCAGAGUUAUUGAUCUUUAUUUAGAUAGUGAAUAGAAUUUUCGAUAAAAAAUUUAACUAAUUCUGAGUCUUUUACACCGUUAAACUAGCAAGUAUUCCAUACCAACUGUUAAAAAUUAUCAAUUUUGAGAUUUUUUAAUCAAAAGGUAAAUGAUGUCAAAAAUUAUAAAAUUUAAUUUUUUAAAAGUUUUAAAUGCUCUAAAUAACGUUUAACGGUAUGGAUCGUCAAUUUGGAAGUUUUAUUAUUAAAAACAACUUAUGAGUAAGAAGGCGAUCGUACUCAUAAGAGUAUAGUAGCCGGACUCUCUCUCUCUCUCUUUCACUUUCUCUCUUUAUAUAUAUAUAUAUAUAUAUAUANAGGUACUAAAAUAAAAAAGUGUGAAACCACGGGGUUUUUUUGAAGUUUUCCCUAAUAAUAAUAAUGAUUCAGGGGUAAAAAUGUAAUUACACUUCAGUUAGCCGGAAUCGUAUUCCUACGUUCUCCACGCAGAGGUUAACAAGGAAACCUCCCCAACAGGUCACGUAUCAAAGCACAACUUAGCCUCUUAAAAAGGAAGAAACUAUUCACUGCACCGGGUGUAUAAGCACAUCUCAUACGCCACACCUAAUAAAUUUUAUGAGGAAAAUGUGUUUUAUGUAUAAAAAAAUUUAUAAAUUUUAGACACGAAUACUUCCUAAAUUGGAUAAUGUCCCAUUAUAAACUUAGCUUUAUAAAUAUUAUAUGGUAAAUUAUAUAACAUCUAUCAAAUUAAAUUUUAAUUUAAGGUGUAAAUUAUUAAAAUCUAUGUAUUAUGACGCGGUUACAUGUCGCGCAUGUCCGUGUCGGACACAUCUUUGUUCGUGCUAGACUCGUAUUUGACGCAAACCCACCAUGGAUGUGCGUUCAUGGCGCAUUCCUAUGAAAUUUUUUUAUUUCACUUUUUUUAUGCAUAUAUAUAUAUAUAUAUAUAUAUAUAUAUAUAUAUAUAUAUUAGGGCUAUUAUACUCUUAUGAGUAUACACCUUUUUGUACUUAUAAGUUUUUGACAAUUGGAUGAAGAGAUGUGCAGUUAGGAUGAUAGAGGUCCCCGAUUAGAAUGAUAGUGGUCCCCUAGAGUUAAGUGGGUGGUAAGUUGAAUAGUAUGAUCUAAUGGGUGAAAAUGGUCAAAGGGAUAGAUUUAACAGUCGAAAAUUUAUGAGUGCAUAGAGAUCUAUGCUUAUAAGAAUAUAUAGUCAAACUCUCUCUCCCUCUCUCUCUCUAUAUAUAUAUAUAUACAUAUAUUAGGAGUAGGACUAUUGUGCUAUUAGGAGUAUAGUAGUCCUUACGCUCCUACCUUUCUAACCAUCUAUCAAUUUCGAUGGAUGGUUAGGAUGAGAGAGAGAAAAAAAAUUCGGGUGCAGUUGAGUGUCUUAUUUUUUCUCAUCUUUGAAUUUGUAUCCAUUUUUUCUUCUCUCUCUCAUCUUAACCACCAAUCAAAAUUGAUGUAUGAUUAGAAAGUUAAGAGCACAAGAAUUACCCGUGAUCCUAAUAGCACAAUAGCCCUACUCUAUAUAUUAGUUAUGGCAUUGCAUUUAGCUUCAAGCAUGAGUAGCUGCACCACAUUCUCUCUCUCUCUCUCUCUCUCCCUCUCUAUUUUUGUUCAAAUUCCAUGUUCCCUCUUUUUGUUUGUAGCUAAACACAUCCAACUACGCAAAAUUCUUCAGUAGAUCCAAAUGAAGAGUACCUGCCAAAUUAUUUGAUAUAUACUAAAGCAGGACAUAUGGAUUAUCUAAAAAGAUCACUUUUUCCUUUUAUUUUUCUUUCUCUUUGUACAGGAGAUUCUACACUGAAUCUCUGGGAUCAUUCCACAUGGGGAACAACUAUUCAUAUUUAGUGGGUAACCCAACAAUGCCAUUUUGAAUCAUAAAUUAAAAGGGAGAGAGAAAAAAAUUCCAAAAAAAAGAAAAAUCCAACAGUACCAUCCAAUUUCAGAGUUCAACAGCUUUGCUGUGCUGUGGCCUCUGGGGUGAUACAGAACCUUCAUUUAAAAAAAGUGAAGCUACCUGGUGCUCAUUACAUGGUUCCAACUACUUAGAUUUAUCACAUAUAAUUUUUUAUUUAUUUUUUUUUAGAAAAAAAAUAGCGUGUUAUUUACUUUAUCCAAUAAGGUAUUGUUUGGUUUGAGCAUAAGCAAAAAAUGAUUAUUCCAGAGAUAGAUAUAAAUUGAGGUAUAAGCGGGGAUUAGAUCAAUUUUACGUUUGGAUGAAAAUUGGGCUAUUCCUGAGAAUAAAAAAAAUAGCGUUUGGUUAGUUAAGAUGGAAUAAGAAAGAUAGUGGGUUUUAUAAAUAAAAAAUAAUCAUAUUAUCCUCUUAUUAUAUUUGAAUUUAAAUUUUUAAAUUUUUAAAUAUAUAUUUUUAAAUUUAAAAUUUUAACUUUGAA